UGUUGGAAUGUGGAGACCGGCGAGAUUGUGGCUGUCAAGUUUCCUCACCGCUUCUGCAGAGAUACCAAGAACGAGGUCGGAAACGUUGAUUUCAUGUUCACAGUUGUAAAAGAUAUCGUGCAGCCAAAGAUUCCCGUGCUGAGAAAGAUCAAGCGCAACAACCUGGACAAACAAAACAUUGUCGAAUUUAUUGAUUGUUUUGAGAGCACACUUAGGAGAGGCCACUGUGUUUGGGCCAUUGGACAUAAGCCUAGAUGACUACAAUGAGGAGAGAACAUGUGCCUCUAUGCUUCUGAGUGACAUCAGAACCAUCAUCCAACAGGGGAACCAGGUGAUCCGCACUGAUGUCAAACUAGACAACAUUAUGACGGUGAAUCACCGACGACAACCCUUUGAGGUCAAGCUGAUAGACUUCGGUGCAGCCAUUUCCAGAUCAGAGGCCAGGACGGGCAGAACUCUGCAACAACAAGCUUUUAGGUCCCCACAAAUUCUUUUGGGCUGUUCAUAUUCUGAGGCCAUCGAUAUACAGGCCUUUACAUAAGUUAUUUAAAUUUGUAUCAGUGACGUGGUCAAGACACGUAGCAGACUUUGAAUGUGAGCCUCCUGCCGCUCUUGUGGAGGAUGAGGACAGCAUCAACAUCCAGCCAGAUGACCACACUCCAUCUCCAGAAAUUCUGCCACCAGGUGUGAUCCUGGUUCGUCCUGCAACUGCCGAGAACAAACUGCUGCUGGAGGGUCAGGAG